rnacentral:rRNA from 1 species
UACGUAGGGUGCAAGCGUUAUCCGGAAUUAUUGGGCGUAAAGAGCUCGUAGGCGGUUUGUCGCGUCUGCUGUGAAAACCCGAGGCCCAACCUCGGGCCUGCAGUGGGUACGGGCAGACUAGAGUGCGGUAGGGGAGAUUGGAAUUCCUGGUGUAGCGGUGGAAUGCGCAGAUAUCAGGAGGAACACCGAUGGCGAAGGCAGAUCUCUGGGCCGUAACUGACGCUGAGGAGCGAAAGCGUGGGGAGCGAACAGG